GCCUGGGUGGCUCAAUCGGUUGAGCAUCUGACUUGGGCUCAGGUCAUGAACUCGAGGUUUGUGAGUUCGAGCCCCGCGUCGGGCU
rnacentral:tRNA from 1 species